UUCGCUUGUUUUAACAAAAACAUGUCUUUUUGAUAAUAAUUUAAAGUCUAACCUGCCCACUGAAAAUUUUUGAAGGGCCGCGGUAUUUUGACUGUGCAAAGGUAGCAUAAUCAUUAGUCUUUUAAUUGAAGGCUUGUAUGAAUGGUUGGAUGAGGUAUUAACUGUCUCAAUUUAAUAAAUAAUAGAAUUUUAUUUUUAAGUUAAAAAGCUUAAAUAAUUUUAAAAGACGAGAAGACCCUAUAGAUCUUUAUAUAUUAAUUUUUAAUAAUUUUUUAGUUUAAAUUUAUUUUUAUUUGUUAAGGUAUUGAAUUGGGGUGAUUAAAAAAUUUAGUAAACUUUUUUUUAUUAGUUAACAAUGAUUUUUGAAUAGUUGAUCCAUUUUUUGUGAUUAUAAGAUUAAGUUACCUUAGGGAUAACAGCGUAAUUUUUUUGGAGAGUUCUUAUCGAUAAAAAAGAUUGCGACCUCGAUGUUGAAUUAAAGGUUAAUUUUAGGUGUAGAAGUUUAAAAUUUUGGUCUGUUCGACCAUUAAAUCUUUACAUGAUCUGAGUUCAAACCG
rnacentral:rRNA from 1 species